GAUGAACGCUAGCUACAGGCUUAACACAUGCAAGUCGAGGGGCAGCAUGGUCUUAGCUUGCUAAGGCCGAUGGCGACCGGCGCACGGGUGAGUAACACGUAUCCAACCUGCCGUCUACUCUUGGACAGCCUUCUGAAAGGAAGAUUAAUACAAGAUGGCAUCAUGAGUCCGCAUGUUCACAUGAUUAAAGGUAUUCCGGUAGACGAUGGGGAUGCGUUCCAUUAGAUAGUAGGCGGGGUAACGGCCCACCUAGUCUUCGAUGGAUAGGGGUUCUGAGAGGAAGGUCCCCCACAUUGGAACUGAGACACGGUCCAAACUCCUACGGGAGGCAGCAGUGAGGAAUAUUGGUCAAUGGGCGCAGGCCUGAACCAGCCAAGUAGCGUGAAGGAUGACUGCCCUAUGGGUUGUAAACUUCUUUUAUAAAGGAAUAAAGUCGGGUAUGUAUACCCGUUUGCAUGUACUUUAUGAAUAAGGAUCGGCUAACUCCGU
rnacentral:rRNA from 1 species